CACAAAUUUUGAGGGCGUGGCUUCUGCUCGGCUAAAGUUUGCACAAAAAUGUGCAGUGAUAAAAAAUUCUUAAAAUUAGGUAUGGGUUUCAGUGCCGAAUAUUGCUAUAUAAUCAACUUUAGCUAAUGAUGUAGUAGAUGUGACUGUCCCAUUCUUGCAAUAUGUAAAUUGUCUAUUUGAGAACCAUCCUCAGAGAUAUGAAAAACUAGUUUCAUAUUUCUGGCACUGCAGAGUACAACGGAAAAUUCGUUGUCUCAAGCGGCGAGAUUCGAACUCACGUCUUCGGGUUUCUAGACCGCCUCUCUUCCCAUUGAGCUAUCGAGUCAACGGGGAUUGGUAGCGAGUGUUAUCCAAUUUAAAAAUAUUUCGUGACGACUUAGAAACCGAAGAUGCGAGUUCGAAUCCCGCUUGAGACAACCAAUUUUUCGUUGUCCUCUGCAAUGUCAGAAUAAUAUUAAACUAGUUUUUCAUAUCUCUGAGAAUGGUUCUGAAAUAGAAUUAUAUAUAAAAUAAUAUGUAUAUAACGCGUGCUCUGAUUGGUCGAAACCCGUGUUUGGAUCAGGCCAUCCAAACACGGAAAUUUAAAGUGAAAGUUUUUUAAAAUUGAAGUGAAAUUUUAACAUGAAAAGUUGUUAUUUUAUAAAACAAUUACUUUAUGGUUUCCGUGUUUGGAUGGCCUGAUCCGAACACUUGGGAAUGUUGCUC